rfam:Erinaceus europaeus unplaced genomic scaffold scaffold00398, whole genome shotgun sequence
GGAUGUGAGAGCAGUAUAGCUGAGAUAUAUGUCUCCCCAUUAACCACCAGGGUUGAUCUGGCUAAUCUGGCUGGCUAGGUAGGUGUCCCUUUCCUCCUUUACUACUCCACGUGUUCACUUCCUGAAGCUGUACACUUGGUCAAAGAGGACAGCCUUCCCAAAACAGAGACAGAGUGACCUUUAGUUAAGGGUAUAGGGGUAAAAACCUACUAUAACCUUCAAACAAUCUCUCAAGGAGCAGGACAUACUCUAACAGCCUCACUUUAACUUAAUUACUCUUUAAAAUUCAUAUAUUCAAAUACAGUCACAUUCUGU